UUCAUCUUCCUCUGCAUUCUUCAAACUUGAAGAACCCUAAUCUACACCACCUCCGUCAGUCACACCCACCACUGUCACCGUCAACAACCACAACCGUCGUCACUGUACCCAUUAAAUGCCACCACCGUCGCCACUCGAAAACCCUAAACCUACCACCACCGAUCUGAAAGAAAGGUAGAGACAGAUGGUGCAUAUCUGAGAUGGUGGCAGGGGUUGUUUGUUUGUUGGAUUUUGCAGCGGUGGUGGUUAAUCAGAGCGUCGGUGGUGGUUGGAUUUUGCAGACCUCUAUCAUCGUUCCUCCACCGUCGCCGCCACCGUUACCACCUCCAGAAGCUCCUCCACCGAUGAAGAUGAUGUCGGAGGUGCAGAUGAGAAAUUUGAGCAUUGUUGCUGAAUACAUUUCUGGGUAUUGUUGUUUGGUGAUUCUUGGUUGUGGUACGUGGGUUAAAUGUGGGUAAUUUUCUUUGUUUCUUGUUGAUGCCCGUUUGGAGCCCAAUCACGCUGGUCAGAGACGAUUAUCAAUUAAGUUCGACAAUAGGGUUUACUUUUACUCAACUUCUGAACGCACAUUCGAAUCGAAGAUGGGGGAGUCGUACUGGCCAGAAAUCUAUCCUCAGAGAAAGGCGUUUUUUCGCCAUGGUAGUUGUGGAUCCGAUCCGGUGAACAAUCUGCGUUUCGAAACGUAAAAUCGUUUCCUGUAGAGAGGAUAAUCAUGCAGUUUUGGCGACCAGUAAAAAGGCACUAGACUUUUAUCUACUUUUAACCCUUAUGCCUUUUCGUCAACUACUGAGGGAGGGUUUGUAUAUCGUUCCUCCACUACGACUUUUGAUGCCUUGCGAGGCUACUAAUGGGGAUUUCUGACUUGUCGAGAGAGAAAUUGAAAAGGCAUUACAAGUGGCUGUUGAAUCACAUGCUGUAACUCUUGGUCAAGUUUGGGUCACUUUUGAGAAUCUUCAUCGUAAGAACAUACGGGCGUUAUUAGGCUAGUCCCCAUGGGUGCAGUCAUGCAUGAUCUGCGCUUGAUACACACCGACUUGAAGCCCGAGGAGAACAUUCUUCUAGUGUCCCCAGAAUAUAUCAAAGUGCCUGAUUACAAUGUUGGAACAUUCUUUUUGCUAUUUAGAGGGUUCAUAUAGGUCACCCAAGGUAGUUCAUACUCCAAAAGAAUACCAAGAUGCAGUGCUAUCAAAGUGAUUGAUUUUGGUUGGUUGCACAACGUAUGAUCGUCCGGACCAGAACUACAUAGUGUCAACACGCCAUUAUAAAGCCACCAGAAGUUAUAUUAGGAUUGGGAUGGAGUUACUGUUUUGGCAUAUGGAGUGUUGGUUGUAUCCUUGUGGAGCUAUGCUCGGGUGAAGCUUUGUUCCAAACACAGGAGAAUCUUGAACAUCUUGCUAUGAUGGAAAGGGUACUUGGAUUUUUACCUUAACACAUGUUGAGGAAAACAGAGACCAAGCUCUUCCGGCAGAGGGGCAACUGUAAGAAACUUUGUGGUUGAUAGCUUCAGUAAACUUGAAAUCUGGCUGGCGGAUAACUUAGAUCCUGAGCCAAUUUCCAGAGGUAGUUCUGGAUUUUAGGGCUCACGGGGGGACUCCAUUGCUUUGGAAUGUGAGCUAACUUGUUUUAUGAUGCUGCUUGCGUUUUCUUUUACUCACUGCGUUGGUGUCAUUGUAAGAUAUCCUUGUCAUCUUCUACAAAUUUACCAAGAGUUGCAAACUGAGGGAGGGUUUGAAUAUCAUUCCUCCACAACGACUUUUGCUGCCUUGCGAGGCUACUACCGGGGAUUUCCGACUUGUCGAGAGAGAAAUUGAAAAGGCAUUACAAGUGGCUGUUGAAUCACAUGCUAUAACUCUUGGUCAAGUUUGGGUCACUUUUGAGAAUCUUCAUCGUAAGAAGAGACGGCGUUAUUAGGCAAACUUAAAUCUCAUUUUGUUGCUAGUCCCCAUGGGUCGUUGUUUGUUAAAUAGGUUGCAGUCAUGCAUGAUCUGCGCUUGAUACACACCGACUUGAAGCCAGAGGAGAACAUUCUUCUAGUGUCCCUAGAAUAUAUCAAAGUGCCUGAUUACAAGGGUUCAUCUAGGUCACCCAAGGAUAGUUCAUACUCCAAAAGAAUACCAAGAUGCAAUGCUGUUUUGACAUUUUUAUCUUUGCAUUGUAAGGAGACGAAUCAUUUUAAGAGGAAGUUAACGUUUAAAAAUAAGGUUUUUUUUUACUGGUAUGUGAAGCUUUGUUCCAAACACAUGGGAAUCUUGAACAUCUUGCUAUGAUGGAAAUGGUAUUUAGAUUUUUACCUCGGCACAUGUUGAGGAAAGGAGUGAGUAUUUUCUCCGUUUAUAUGACAACAUUUUUAUGUAAUUCUUAGGCAAAACAAGUGGGUUGGAUAUCAAUACAUUUUACAAAU